GUUUUCCUGAAAUCUGAUGGUUUUAUAAAGGGCUUUUCCUGUCUUCACUCUGCACUUGCUCUCUCGUGCCACAACAUGAAGAAGGUUCCUGCUUCUCCAUCCACUUCCACCAUGAUUGUAAGUUUCCUGAAGUGUCCCCAGCCAAGUGGAACUGUUUUUCCAGAAGCUAUACUUCCCAGCCUUUGAGAUGACCAAUUUGCAGGCUGCAACCCAUUAUGAGAAAUACAGUUCCCCUUUCACAAUUUAUGAACCUCAUGAUUCUGCAGUUGACACAUUUCUUCCAGAAGCUCGACCAUCAAUGGCCUUGAUUUCCAUGAUUGCAAGUCCUGCCAGCUAAAGUUUCAGAAAAGUCUGGGCAAGUCUGGAAGUCCAUUGUAUCCAGUAUAUGUGGCUACGUAAGAAAUUUUCUGGAAUUACACAUUUUCUUGGAAGAACAUUAGGAGCUGGUUCUGAAGAUCAAAUUACAUCAGAAAAAAAGGUGAAACAGGGAAAUUCCAACUGAUUGCCUGGAAAAUUGCUUCAGUCUUCUAGCUCCCUUGAAGGCAACUUUGAAUUGAGCAGAUACACAAAAACAUUCUGUCUUCUGAAAUUUUAAUCUGUGCAAGAUUAUUUUACAACUACACAUAUUGAUAAUAAAGCAAUUUCUCCAAGUGGGACACAUCAGAUAAAAUGGUGUUUGUAUAUUUCUCUCACAUUACUUUUUUCUAUUUAUUGAAAGCCCAUUCUGUCACUAGAAUGAAUCUCUAUCACCCCUGUUAUUCCUUUUCUGCCAAUAUCCUUUAAAAAAAUUCACUGAUGACAUUCAGGGUGAAAUUCAUUUUAGGCUGAAUUUGAAAAAUAAAUAAAGGUGUCCAGGUGCAAAUGCAAGCCUUAAAUUGUACAUUUUUGGCAGGCAUACGUAAUUCAUAUAUAACCUAGCAUCUGUAAAUAUAAAAGUAGUGGACCUCACUCAAGUUUCCCAUAAGGGUAGAUUUGAAUAUAGAUGAAGAUAGGAAUAUAUCUCUUAUUCCAUCCUUACAUUUAUUGUUUGUAAUGGUCACCAAAAAUUAAUCUUUUAGCCUUGCUACAUAUUUUAUUAUUUGCCAGAGCAAAAGCUGAUCAAUUUUAAUCUGAUUUAAAAUGUAAUCCAAAAACCUAAUGUUUUUUAACAGAACAAUAAAAAUAUUUUUCAAUGACUUUGUGCAUUAGUGAAUGUAUCCCUGAAAAGCAUGUGUAACCUUGAAUUAAUAAGUUAUGUUUUCUUUGCCAAUGCUUAUUCAUUUUGUUUAUAUAAAAAUAUGUUUACUCAGAUUUUCUUCAUUAAAGAAUCAUAUUUAAGUAAAGCACUCAUUAAAAUAAUUUAGCUAAGAAAAUGUGAUGUAAUAGAAGUCCAAACUGAAUAUUAUCAGGAAUUUUACAUAGAAUCAUAAUUUAUUUUUCAUAAGAAUCAGAAUUUGGUAUAGACUUACAGAUUAAAAUAAAUCAGAUUAAUUACUCCUAUAUACAUCACUUUAUAAUGCCAUUCUUACUUUAUAUAGGACAAUCUAUGCUAGCAUGAAAACUUGUAUGAGUUUUUUGUUCAUCUGUGG
rnacentral:lncRNA from 1 species